rnacentral:rRNA from 1 species
UACGUAGGGGGCGGGCGUGUCCGGAAUUACUGGGCGUAAAGGGCGCGCAGGCGGCCGUGGUAAGUCCGCUGUGAAAGACCGGGGCUCAACCCCGGGGUGUCAGCGGGGACUGCACGGCUGGAGUCCCGGAGGGGGAGGCGGAAUACCUGGUGUAGCGGUGGAAUGCGUAGAGAUCAGGUGGAACACCGAUGGCGAAGGCAGCCUCCUGGACGGGUACUGACGCUGAGGCGCGAAAGCGUGGGGAGCGAACGGG